UACGUGCCAGCAGCCGCGGUAAUACGUAGGUGGCAAGCGUUAUCCGGAUUUAUUGGGCGUAAAGCGAGCGCAGGCGGUCUUUUAAGUCUAAUGUGAAAGCCUUCGGCUCAACCGAAGAAGUGCAUUGGAAACUGGGAGACUUGAGUGCAGAAGAGGACAGUGGAACUCCAUGUGUAGCGGUGAAAUGCGUAGAUAUAUGGAAGAACACCAGUGGCGAAGGCGGCUGUCUGGUCUGUAACUGACGCUGAGGCUCGAAAGCAUGGGUAGCGAACAGGAUUAGAUACCCUGGUAGUCCAUGCCGUAAACGAUGAUUACUAAGUGUUGGAGGGUUUCCGCCCUUCAGUGCUGCAGCUAACGCAUUAAGUAAUCCGCCUGGGGAGUACGACCGCAAGGUUGAAACUCAAAAGAAUUGACGGGGGCCCGCACAAGCGGUGGAGCAUGUGGUUUAAUUCGAAGCUACGCGAAGAACCUUACCAGGUCUUGACAUCUUCUGCCAACCUAAGAGAUUAGGCGUUCCCUUCGGGGACAGAAUGACAGGUGGUGCAUGGUUGUCGUCAGCUCGUGUCGUGAGAUGUUGGGUUAAGUCCCGCAACGAGCGCAACCCUUAUUACUAGUUGCCAGCAUUCAGUUGGGCACUCUAGUGAGACUGCCGGUGACAAACCGGAGGAAGGUGGGGACGACGUCAAAUCAUCAUGCCCCUUAUGACCUGGGCUACACACGUGCUACAAUGGAUGGUACAACGAGUUGCGAAACCGCGAGGUUUAGCUAAUCUCUUAAAACCAUUCUCAGUUCGGACUGUAGGCUGCAACUCGCCUACACGAAGUCGGAAUCGCUAGUAAUCGCGGAUCAGCAUGCCGCGGUGAAUACGUUCCCGGGCCUUGUACACACCGCCCGUCACACCAUGAGAGUUUGUAACACCCAAAGCCGGUGGGGUAACCUUUAGGAGCUAGCCGUCUA
rnacentral:rRNA from 1 species